rnacentral:rRNA from 1 species
GACAGAGGCCCCGAGCGUUAGGCGGAAUCACUGGGCUUAAAGCGUGUGUAGGCGGGAGCGUAAGUACCUUGUGAAAUCCCUCGGCUCAACCGGGGAACUGCGUCUGAUACUGGUUGGCUUGAGUGCAGGAGAGGAACGCGGAAUUCCAGGUGUAGCGGUGAAAUGCGUAGAUAUCUGGAGGAACACCGGUGGCGAAGGCGGCGUUCUGGACUGCAACUGACACUGAGGAACGAAAGCCAGGGGAGCAAACGGG